GAAAACUCAUAAGCCAAAGAAGUGGCUGGAUAAAACUUGCCGCAGUAGAUGUUUCAGCCGCGCCUAAUUUAUUGUCCCCCACCAUGUGCAAAAUCGGACUUGAAUUAUGCAACCUAAUACAGAAUACAUUGUACAAAUGUUCAUUUUGCAUAAUUUAUACUUUGACUGUAGAAACUAGUUUUUCUUGGUACAAUGGUUGGCAUCCCAUUGCAUGUUACAGAAUUUGUUUUAGCACAAAGUGCGGACAGGAAUCUAUCUAUGUAUUAUGUUUAUAAGCAACCAUUAAGAGGGGAAUAAACUUUCACUUUGUAGUAAAAAUGUAAGCAUGAAGACAGAUUCCCGAUAUUUAAAGUACGGAUUUACUUAGGCUAUUCCAAUCCCAAACAUACUGAACAGAAGGAGGAGCAAUUCUGACCUGACUGUCUACUUAUCACAGGCCAGUGAGUAGAGGCGUGUGCAUGUGCUUCUUUCUCUGUUCUCUGGUUGACUGUGCUAUGCUGGAUGCUCUACGUAACAAUCUGGUUUGUACAAUUAUUUCUCCUUACAAAGAGGAGAAAGAUUGUGCCACAUGGGCUUAAACAUGUGUGGCUUCGCACUCUACAUUAUUUAUUGGUUCAAUGAGAGAAGCACAUUCCUGCUGCUCCACUAUGAAAAUAAUGUUGAUGUUGGAGCAUGUGCAUGAACUAGAUCUUAAAUCUUACUUCUAUGUUAUUUGCAGUGCUGUGCUUGUUGCCACUGCCUUUUCAGUUACUUCCAGGGUGCAUCUGGUAACAUCUACCCUUACGACUGCACACAGCUCACAUUGAUCUUUAACAUGCUGUUAAGUUCUUUGUGUGCGGUUGGCCUACGCAAAACUUAUACCAUAUGGGUUGGGCAGGUAGAAGCAAUUGCAACCAAUGGCUGCCUUGCUAGAUGCAGCUGGUUUUUGCUAUUGAUGGGUUAUGCAGUCAUGGUGUCAUCUGUGCAAGGCUGGGGUGGAAACUGCCUCCAUGUGCCUACAGACAUCUUAAAUGCACCAAUGAUUCAUCCCUCAGACAUAUUAAAAUUGUGAGCACCUAAAUGCAAAAGAAUUGGUUUGUAUUUAUCUUGCUCUGACAAGUAAAACUAAAUCUGGGCAAAAUAUGAAAUGGCAGAAUUUUUCUUUCUGGCAAAAAAAUUCUUGAUGCCACUUCAAAUGGGAGCUUUGCUGUUCUUAGCAGCCCAUCUGCUUCCCUGGGACAGAAUUCCACAUGAGAACAGCCCUGCAUCAGGUUGUAAUAUCAUUCCCAGAGGCGUUCCCGGGGGCGCGGAGAGAGAUAGCUCUGCUCAUUGGCAAUGGGGGCAGCCAUUAGUUCCACUCCAAGAAAUGCCCAUGGGAAUGAUGUGACAUCAAAUUGCUGUGGUGUUCGCAUGAGGAGGUCUGUCUCGGGAACAUAGGAAGGGUGCUUUGGGAGGGCAAACUUCCUUCUUUUUUAGAAAAGAGAAAAAUAAAGAAAUAAAACAUUAUUUGAAAGUGUGAAACAACAACAGCAACGAACAGUUCUCAUCGUAGUUUUGUACCAGCUAUAUGGAGAGUAAUGUUAUUCACUAGGUUUCACUGGUCUUGGUAAUAUGUCAGGAAUUUCCUGUUACUGUUCUAUACUUGUUUGAGAGAGACAAUGUAUUUCUUUUCUAACUUUUUGACGUGUGUCUUCCUUCCAGGACAUCAGAACAGCUGACAUGUGAAUGAGAAGAUGGUGGUUUACAGUAAGAAGUGAAUUUGACCAUUUUGGUGGUGGUGGGUUUUUUGGGGGGGGGGAGUAUUACUGAGAUUUUUCAAAAAGUGAGAGAUUGCACCCUUUGUUCCUAAAGCAUUUGAAAAGCUAUUAAAAACAAUGGAGGGAUCAGCAACUACAAAAUGUGACAGUGCCUAUUAAUGCCAAAAAUGUUUCUGAUUUAUAACUUUAUGCAUCGUUGCAUGGAAAAUGAAUCCCUCAGGGAUGAUUGAAGACUGAAAAAAGCAGCUAAAAUGGAAAAGUCUAAAGGUUGAAAUUCUACCAUGGCGGCAGCUGUCCUUAACUCAACCCGCUGUGGCCAUAUGUAACCAUGGCUGUGACCUGCAGCCCUGUUCAUGUGUUAUGCCUGAAGAGGGAACUGGAAGUGGAUGCACAUGCCAGCACCACAACCAACAUCCAUGCAUACUCUAGCAUGCCUGACCUCAAUUUCAGCAGGAAGGCCUGAAGGGGAAAUGUAAGCAUGUUCAACUGAACACCUUUAUAUUCCUCCUUGUAAAUGGGAAUCAUAAUUGUGCUGGGUUUUCAGGCAUGGGGAGGCUCAUAAACACCUUCCCAAUUUAUUACAGCAUUGUGUAAAGGCUGCAUGUCCCAUUUUUACAGUUUCCCUUGUAUGAUACCAUCUUACCCUUGGCAACUUCCCUAAAAUAUAGCUGACUCAGGUUGGUCAAACCAUCACAAGAGUGCUAUCAAACAGGCCAAGUGUGCAUCCUCAGCAGUAGCUCGCAUUCAUUUUCUGAAAGGUAACCAAUUUAUACCAGCUGCCAUUCAAAUUUUUCAAGCUAAAGCGUCAUCCCAGCUACAUUUUGGGAUCCCAAUAUGGAUACAAGCAUAUAACAGUGAUUUAGAUACCGGUAAGAUACACUCAGGUUUCCUGAGACGUAUCCUGGGGCUCCCAAGUUCAAUCAAGUAUGAGACAGUGUGUGCAGAACUAGGUAUAUACACGAUGGGAUAUUGGGCCAGCACUAUAAAAUAGUGAUUGCGUUGCCAUUUCUGUUGCCAGCCUUUGAGUCUGCUCUCUGACUUACUUAAAGGCUCUUAUUAUCAAUCCAGAUGGUUCCAACUCUUACAUAGCAAAAUCAGAUCUAUUAGUAUUGACUUGCAACUCUUGUAUAAUUCAAGUGAGCAAUAUAUUUAUUGUAAUAUUCUAACCAAAUUAAGGGACAUUGAAAAACAAAACAUUGAGUCAGCUAUAAAUAAAAUUUGCUCCCCCAAGUUCUUUGGUUUAAAUACAACAGAUAACAGGGUCACAUAGUUCAAAAUUAGUAAUUCCAGGUGGUUGUCACCGAUGGAAGCGAAGGCUCAGAAAAAGCUCAAUAUGGAGGCCAAAUGGCCGAAAUAUUGGGAAAUUUUGGAACAAGAGGGAGAUAAAUUGAAACUGCAGAGUUUUGAAAAACUAAAAAAUAAAGUGCGAGAUUGGCUUCAUUAUUAUCAGAUAAUGGAGGCAUAUAAUUUGGAUAAGAAAAUUGGCUUCCAGGUGGAAAAAUCAAAAUUGGAAACAGAACUGUUAGACUUCAAAACCAAGAUUUUGUCAAAGAUGUAUAACUUGCUGUUGAAAUGGAAUACUCAGGAUGAAAUGGUGAAAUCUGCUAUGAUUAAAUGGGCACAAGAUGUUGGACAUAACAUAAUGGUGGCUGACUGGGAACAGUUAUGGACCACAGGUAUGAAGUUUACGGCAUGUAAUGCCUUAAGAGAGAAUAUUAUGAAAAUGAUUUACAGGUGGUACAUGACACCAGUCAAGCUUGCAAAAAUCUAUCAUUUGCCCGAUAAUAAAUGUUGGAAAUGUAAAGAAACUGAAGGUACAUUCUUUCACCUUUGGUGGACGUGCCCAGGGAUUAAGGCUUUCUGGGAGAUGAUUUAUAAUGAAAUGAAAAAGGUAUUUAAAUAUACCUUCCUGAAGAAACCAGAGGCCUUUCUCCUGGGCAUGGUCGGCCAAUUGGUGCCAAAGAAGGAUAGAACUUUCUUUAUGUAUGCUACAACAGCAGCAAGAAUACUUAUUGCAAAGUAUUGGAAGACACAAGAUUUACCCACUCUGGAAGAAUGGCAGAUGAAGGUGAUGGACUAUAUGGAACUGGCGGAAAUGACUGGCAGAAUCCGAGACCAGGGAGAAGAGUUGGUGGAAGAAGAUUGGAAGAAAUUUAAAAACUAUUUACAGAAAUACUGCAAAAUUAAUGAAUGUUAGAAUGAUGUUGGAUUGAAGUUAAGUGGUUUUUAGCAGUAAUGUUAUAAAGGAAUAUGUAAAAAAGGAUUGUUAACAGGUGAUAAUUUAAAGCUAUAAUAUAUUAAGAUAAAAGAUUAAGAUAAAAUCAAAGAGGGAAAGGAAUUGCUGAAUUAACUAAUUGAACUGGAAUACAAAAAAGGGAGGUGUGAGGAGGUCAGGGAAACAAGCAAAUGAAAAGAUAUGGAAAGACUGACUUGUUUUUAACUGUUUUUACCUUGUAUUUAUUUUCGUUUUUUUAUUUUCUUUUACUUUUUUCUCUUAUUUUUGUAAUAUGCUGAAACUUUAAUAAAUAUCUUAUUAAAAAAUAAAUAAAUUACUAAUUCCAGCCUUGGUUAGCCCGACUGAACGUUUUCCCUUCAGCUUUUCCAAGGGCAAAACAUCCCCAGAAACAAUAGGCAUUGCAGACGUUCUUUGAAUGUGCCAGACAGUAGAACAUAUUCUUUUCUACUGUCCAUUGUACAACGAGCUACACAAAUGCGUGCUAUUCCACUUUUUUGGGUAGUCCAACAUCAUGGCACAAUGAAAUCAGAUUCUAUCUGUCUGAUAUUAACCCAGAAGUAACUGCAAGGGUGGCUGAGUUUUUAUCAAUAGUAUCUCUUAGAGUGGUUAAUGAAAAUCCUCGUUAUUACAUAUUUUUACAUGGCUGUUUAUUUGUAUAUAUUUCAAAAUUUUAUAUACCGAUGUUUUAUGAUGGCCUAUAUUUGUAAUGCCUAAUAAAGGUUUGGCGAAGUAAGUAAGUUGAUGCAAAGUCAUUUUCUCUUGAUGUUCACUCUGUGGUUCUCCUGCUAAAAUAUCGUCACCCUGAGGGCUUCCGAUUCACAACUGAGUAAUUUUACUCUGUCUAUUCAGGCCCUUUGUGAAUUGAAUGGAUAUUAUUGCUUCAGAUCCCCUCGCUCCUAGAUGCAUGAUAUUGUCCUUGGAAUCAUGAAUGGCUUUUGCUGUGGGAUCACAAUUUUCAGAAAUGCUGCCUUCCAUAGCUGCUAUUCUCUGGAAUUAUAUUAAAACUUCUAAAAUAUGUAGUAUCAAAUACCACAUGUAUUAAUCUAGGGAGCAUAUGAAAGUACUGCAUAUAUUAAUUGUAUCUCAUCACUUCAAUACCUUGAGUUAUGCACAAAAAAUAAUGAAUAUAUAAUCACCAAACCCAAGUAAGAUAGUGAAGUAUUUUUAGCAUGAAUAUUUUGGGACAUGGAAAGACAUUGCUUAGACAAAAUAAACACUAACUAACUUUUAUAUUGAACAUUUCUCUGUAUGUGGUAUGUUCUUGGAAUCAUAUUUUAUCCCUUAACUUGUUUGCUAGGAUAGUAGUCAGAUUUGGGCAUUCUUAUGGAAUUAACUGCAUUGAUCAACAUGUGAACCAUGUGAACCAUUUGUUGUCCCUAGAGCAAGAGGCACUGGACCAAAAAUCAAAUAAAAACCAAACCAGGUUACGAGUUAAUCACUGAAUAUGCAAAAUUCUUACCUAUGAAAGACGUAGUCUGGAUAAAUGGCAUUUUAGGGGGUAACAGUGCUAUUUAACUUGUUCACAAAUGAUCUAACAUUUGGGUUGGGCAGCGGUGUUUCAGAUUGCACCAAAUUAUUCAGGAUGGUGGAAAACCAAGCCAUUCGUGAAAGGAAGAAUGGACAACAUAUUGGCAAGUCAUGUUCCAUAAAAGUGUAUAGUAAUGCAUAUUGAGGGGGAGGGCUGAGUUUGCAUAUACAGGGAGGAGUUCUAAAAAUACUUUGAUUACCCAAGAAAGAUAUCUUGGUGAAAAGUCCCCUGUAAAAAUUAGAUCUACAUGCUUAUAUGACAAUGGGGGAAAUGGCAGAUUCAGUGGUAGAAAUUAAUGCAAUUAUGGAUUGAGUACAGUGUAAUUUUUGGCUACCCUAUCUUUCUAUAUAAAGAGACGUGGAUAUGUAGAGCUGCAUAAGCUGUGGGAAAGGGCAAUAAAAUGAUCAAUGGAGUCUUCUCUUCAAGGGCUUUAAAAAGUUUACAAAGGAGAUUUCUACUAGAAAUCUGUUAAAUCCCGAAUGCCAGAGAGAUUAAUAUAUGUCUAAUAACUCUAGAAAAUGAGAUCAUUCAAAGAAAUUGGCAGUAGGUACAGGACUGACCCACGUAAAAUUCUCCUUCACAAACUACUUAAAUGUUAUUCAUUAUUGCCACAUGAUGCUGCAUCCAGUUAGAUUAAUUCAAAGGGAAAUCCAUGGAUGGCAGAACUAUUAAUUGCUCUCGUUCAGCGCCAUAUUGAAUAUGUUUAUUCAGGUAAAGGAGAAAACAGGCAACCAUUUCUAUGGCAGAGGUUGUGGGGAUAUCAUAGCCAUCCACAUACUCUUGGUAAAUAGAAUGGAAGAAAUGGAAGAAACUGAGUUUUGAUUUUGAUUUCAUUUUCUGGGGCGGGGGGCAUAAAGUUGCAUUGGACACCAGUAUUAAGGAUGAUUUAUAUUGGAUAUGGGUCUUAAGCUUUGUUGUACUGAGGGACAAUAUUCUGGUUUUCAUGUUCUUGUAGACGUCUGUAGUUAAUUAUCUUAUUGCCACUAUAUAGGGAGACUCUUGAAAGACUGGACAAUUGCUGCUGCAUAUUGUCAUUGUUGACAAUGAUCCAACAAAUUUAUGUACAGAUACCUGGUAGUUUCUUUAAUGUUUCUACUGCAAUCUCCUGUUUCAAUGCUAUGAAUUGUUCCCUGAAUAAGUCUCAUGCUAAACACCACCUUAUUGUUGUCUAGAGCAUUGUCUAGAGCAGCCUUAUUGUUGUCUAGAGCAUGGUGCUGAUAACCCCAAGGUUGCAGGUUUGACUCCCAUAUGGGACAACAGUAUAUUCCUGCAUUGCAGGGGUUGGACUAGAUGAUCCUCAAGGUCCCUUCCAUCUCUGAUUCUGUGAUUACAGAUAUAGGUGGAUUUUUGGCUUGGGCAUUAGUUGUCUAUCUGUUCCAGCCCCCCCC